AAUUAGAGUACUGGUCAAACAGUCACAAAUCAGAUUGCUCCUGUGUUCAGAACGAAAAUAAAGCAGCCCUUCCCUGUUCAGAACAAAACUAAAGCAGUAGUGGGAUUCUUUGCACCCACUAAAUCUUUGUUGAAUCAGAUUGCUCCUCUGUUCAGAACAAAAAUGAAGCAGCCCUUCCCUAUUCAGAACAAAACUAAAGCAGUAGUUGGAUUCUUUGCACC
rnacentral:lncRNA from 1 species